rnacentral:rRNA from 1 species
AGAGUUUGAUCCUGGCUCAGAUUGAACGCUGGCGGCAGGCCUAACACAUGCAAGUCGAGCGGAAACGAGUUAUCUGAACCUUCGGGGAACGAUAACGGCGUCGAGCGGCGGACGGGUGAGUAAUGCCUAGGAAAUUGCCCUGAUGUGGGGGAUAACCAUUGGAAACGAUGGCUAAUACCGCAUAAUGCCUACGGGCCAAAGAGGGGGACCUUCGGGCCUCUCGCGUCAGGAUAUGCCUAGGUGGGAUUAGCUAGUUGGUGAGGUAAUGGCUCACCAAGGCGACGAUCCCUAGCUGGUCUGAGAGGAUGAUCAGCCACACUGGAACUGAGACACGGUCCAGACUCCUACGGGAGGCAGCAGUGGGGAAUAUUGCACAAUGGGCGCAAGCCUGAUGCAGCCAUGCCGCGUGUGUGAAGAAGGCCUUCGGGUUGUAAAGCACUUUCAGUCGUGAGGAAGGUAGUGUAGUUAAUAGAUGCAUUAUUUGACGUAGCG